CCUGACAGCGUACCUUUUGUAUAAUGGGUCAGUGAGUUAGUCUAUCAAGCAAGCUUAAGCCGUUAGGUGUAGGCGCAGCGAAAGCGAGUCUUAAUAGGGCGACUGAGUUAGAUGCAUUAGACCCGAAACCGAGUGAUCUAGCCAUGAGCAGGUUGAAGGUUGGGUAACACCAACUGGAGGACCGAACCCGCAUCUGUUGCAAUAGAUUGGGAUGACUUGUGGUUAGGGGUGAAAGGCCAAUCAAAC
rnacentral:rRNA from 14 species